CACGUCCGUAUAGUUUCUAUCCGGGAGAACUUUUUCUCACUAUACAUUGGAUGAGUCAAUGAAUCCCUUUCGAAGUUGAAGAAUUUGAAGUUCAAAAGAUCGCUCUCUCUCGAGCUUGACGGCCCAUCAUGAAUCCUGUCAUAUUGGUUAGCGCUCAGGAUGGUGAUGCUUAUGCUUACCUUCUCAAUGUUCUUGCCCCAGAGCACUGCAGCCCAGGUACGUUAAAUACUACAGAUAUCACUGAACGAGCAAAAUUGGUACUUAAGCAUGCGGAACGGAUGGACUGUAAAAGAUACUUAAUGCCAAGGACAUUGUUGAAGGUUCACCAAAUCUGAAUCUUGCAUUUGUCGCAUAGGUCCUCCACCAAAGGUGACAAAGAAUAUUGAUUUUAUCAUUUUCUUAUCCUUUGGAGGACUCCUUUUCCCCUAUCUUUUUUUUGGUAUUUUCAUACGAAUUUAUUUCCUUUUAUGCUGGGACCACUAUAGCCCUUCAAGAUGUUGUAGCAUUUAUGCAUAAAAUUCUAAUUAUAAGACUCUUACAUUUGCCUUAAAAUGCCAAGUUAUUAGUUUGUAUUGCUUUGUCGAUGUAGUUGUUUUGCAUGGGGAAAAGGUUGAUCGCUUUACUAAAUCUUUUUUUGGAAGAGUGUAUAUGUUAUAUUUGUUUCUGUAUUAUGUAGGUUUUGCUUCAUAAAAAAUAGUUGCAUUCUGUUUGACUGUCAAAUGGUAGACAUCUCUAUGCCACUUGAUAUUUGUAAGGUCAUUUACAUGCACGCAUGGAUCUAGGUAGCCGGAAAUGUAUUAUCUCUGCCUGAUUAAGGAACAUGAGACUUAGAAGUCAUCCCCUUUAAAUUGCAUUGUAUGUAAUACUCUUCAAUAUGUUGCAUAAAUCUAUUAUGAUUAGAGCAGGCAGCUUAUAUUUACUGAGAUCGAUAUUUAAAUGAUUUUGACAUGGAAAGUCGAUAUGAGUUUGAUAGAGAAAUAGGGUUUAGGGUUUAAGUUCUCUGAUUUUAUUUCUUCUUUGUCUUGCAAUGAUGUGAACAAUAAUGGGGUUGAUUGAUUAGGAUCCAAGCUCAAUCGUUAAUGGCGUCACGGCGGCAAACUAGUACUCAAUCUUUCCCAAGUGCCCAAGUGCCCAAGUGGUGGGGAAUGCAUUUGUUGAACAAUACAAGCACAUCAUCAAGCACCCGAGCUCGUGUUUCGAUUUUACCAGGAAAAGAGUAAACUUGGCCACCCCGAGCCUGAUGGAACCUUGAGUUCCAUAAUGAUCAUGAAAUUGAGUUCAACAACUUAAGAUUGCGGAAGCUUCAAUGUUUGAAAAUCGACCCUUAUAUUGAUUUUUCAUUUGGGUUAUGUUUAUUUCUACAGGGUAUCAAUGAGAAAGUUAAUCUCUCUGGAUUAUAGCUAUUGCAGAGCAGAACUCAAGACAAUGGAUGCCUAGGAAUCACAUGAUGGUGGAAUCAUUGUCCUCGUGACUGGGUAUCUUACUGGAAAGGAUGGCGUGAGGAGGGGUUUUAGCAGAUCUUUUUUCUUGCUCCUCAAUGUAAGGGUAAGGGUUACAUUGUUUCGAACGACUUCUUUAGAUUUGUUAAAGAGGUUGAAAAUAAAGGUGGGACCCAGAGUUCUAAUGGUUUAGCUGAUCAUCUAACUCCUGAGCUGGAUCCUGCUCCAGUUGCAGAGCAAACCACAACAUUGUCAGAGGAAACAGUUGACAAUGAGGAAAAAGAAGUCUGGUUGAUAAUCGAUUCGAUUUAAUUUUAAAAGUGAAAUAUCAGUCAUUGAGGUUUGGAAGCUAAUGGAGAUACCUUCUAUAGUGAAAAUAAAGGAGCCUGUGAUUGGUGUUGGAGCUUUCAAAGAACUAGGAUAUGAUAGUUUUUUGGUCAUUUUCUUUCACAACAGUUGCAAUUUUUAUUAAUUCAUAUAUUGUCCAGCUUUUACAUAA